rnacentral:rRNA from 1 species
CAGUAGCCGCGGGAAUACGUAGGGUCCGAGCGUUGUCCGGAAUUAUUGGGCGUAAAGGGCUCGUAGGCGGUUUGUCGCGUCGGGAGUGAAAACCAGCAGCUUAACUGCUGGCCUGCUUUCGAUACGGGCAGACUUGAGGCAUUCAGGGGAGAACGGAAUUCCUGGUGUAGCGGUGAAAUGCGCAGAUAUCAGGAGGAACACCGGUGGCGAAGGCGGCUCACUGGUCCAUUACUGACGCUGAGGUGCGAAAGCGUGGGGAGCAAACAGGAUUAGAUACCCCCGUAGUCCCUGUCUCUUAUAA